rnacentral:rRNA from 1 species
UACGAAGGGGGCUAGCGUUGUUCGGAAUUACUGGGCGUAAAGCGCACGUAGGCGGACAUUUAAGUCAGGGGUGAAAUCCCAGAGCUCAACUCUGGAACUGCCUUUGAUACUGGGUGUCUUGAGUAUGGAAGAGGUGAGUGGAAUUCCGAGUGUAGAGGUGAAAUUCGUAGAUAUUCGGAGGAACACCAGUGGCGAAGGCGGCUCACUGGUCCAUUACUGACGCUGAGGUGCGAAAGCGUGGGGAGCGAACGGG